rnacentral:lncRNA from 1 species
CAAUCCCGCUGCCACAAGAAAUCGGCAGGUCUGAAAGCCUACCAUGCGACCGUAUAAAUGGUGGGCCAACAAAAUCUAUCCGGGAUUCUGUUUAGUUUCCUCGUGUGAAUCCUUCAACUCUCGUUCCACCGAACCCCGUAUUGGACAACUUGUGUUGGGUGGACAUUAAUGCUGUAAAAUAAGAAUAAUUGGACACCUGGCUUUCGUAAUAGCAAGUGGUGGGGGACAAGCCCACCAAAGUUGUCUCUAUAUUUGUUCAACUGCGAUCAUUUUCCACCGGAAAACCGACAACACAUGCAUCGAACUGGCUAUAGAAGAAAGAUACAAGCACGAUAUGGAUGAACCCAAGGCUUGAACCUUAUCCAUUACAGCUCCACGAACCAGUUUUACAAAUAUACCCAUGGAAUAUACGAAACAGAGCAAAAGGGUAACACAAAAAGUUAGCCCUCCCUUCACUCCUUUUUCAAAAUAAUGAUUUUUAUCCGACAUACUUUACUUAAGAUAGUAAAG